GACGAACGCUGGCGGCGUGCCUAACACAUGCAAGUCGAGCGAGGUUCAGUCAGUGGCAACACUGACGAAGACCUAGCGGCGAACGGGUGAGUAUCACGUGAGCAACCUGCCCUGAAGUCUGGGAUAACCAGGGGAAACCCUGGCUAAUACCGGAUGCCUUCCACUGAUCGCAUGGUCGGUGGCAGAAAGAUUUAUCGCUUCAGGAGGGGCUCGCGGCCUAUCAGCUAGUUGGCGGGGUAACGGCCCACCAAGGCAUCGACGGGUGGCUGGUCUGAGAGGAUGAUCAGCCACACUGGGACUGAGACACGGCCCAGACUCCUACGGGAGGCAGCAGUGGGGAAUAUUGCGCAAUGGGCGAAAGCCUGACGCAGCAACGCCGCGUGCGGGAUGAAGGCCUUCGGGUUGUAAACCGCUUCGACAGGACGAAUUUGACGGUACCUGUAGAAGAAGCCCGGCCAACUACGUGCCAGCAGCCGCGGUAA
rnacentral:rRNA from 1 species